rnacentral:rRNA from 1 species
GACGAACGCUGGCGGCACGCUUAACACAUGCAAGUCGAACGGAGUUUUUUAACGGAAGUCUUCGGACGGAAGGUAAAAGACUUAGUGGCGGACGGGUGAGUAACACGUGAGUAAUCUGCCUUACAGAGGGGGAUAACGUUCUGAAAAGAACGCUAAUACCGCAUAAGCCAACGAAAUCGCAUGGUUUAGUUGGAAAAGGAGCAAUCCGCUGUAAGAUGAGCUCGCGUCCGAUUAGCUAGUUGGCGGGGUAACAGCCCACCAAGGCGACGAUCGGUAGCCGGACUGAGAGGUUGGACGGCCACAUUGGGACUGAGACACGGCCCAGACUCCUACGGGAGGCAGCAGUGGGGGAAUAUUGCACAAUGGAGGAAACUCUGAUGCAGCGACGCCGCGUGAGGGAAGAAGGUAUUCGUAUUGUAAACCUCUGUCUUCGGGGGACGAUAAUGACGGUACCCGAGGAGGAAGCACCGGCUAACUACGUG